AGCUUUGCGCAGUGGCAGUUUCAUAGUCAAUGAGGUUUAUCCGAGGCGCGAUUAUUGCUAAUUGAAAACUUUUCCCAAUACCCCGCCAUGACGACUAGAAUUCAGGAAGUAACACACAUAUU
ensembl:snRNA U4 U4 spliceosomal RNA